ACACUCACUGGAAUGUCGUGGGGAAGAAGAAGUUCAAGCUCAUUUAAGGACCAGUAAAAGCUCCAGCAGACAGACAGACAGACAGAUCCACCCACAGCAGCAGCGACAACAGCGAGAGACCACUCAGCGAGGCACUGGGACACGCAGAUACCAGAGGGGCAACAGAUUUUACUACAGCUCCUUGAACAAGCAACAGCUGACAGAGUCACGGAGCAGCAAUGCAAACUCCAAGGCAAGGCGGAGGAGUUGAGGGCUCCUGCAGUUGCAAGGAUUUUUAACUUGGUUUUUCACUCCAUAUUAAUAGCUUUGGUCUUUUUAUAAAUUGUAUUAAUUUUAGACAUUUAACAAGGCAGAUAAUGACUGUGAAGUGCUUCGGAGAACUAGAGGCGACCACCUUCAGACAUUUAUGGGUUUUGAGGCCAGACCAGAAAGCAAACACCUCCAUGGAGACUCCCUGCUCAGUCCUACUCAGGAGCCUGGCGUCGCUGCAGCAUCCUUGCUGCAUUUGUGGGCAGUAACCCAAGAGCUGGAGUCUACCAAAGGACAGGAAGAACAGAGACCUGCAGGCCAGUAACAUGGAAUUGUAAUUGCUAACAAGGCUAUAAGCUGUGCAUUAACUGUACAGGCUUCAUUGUUACAUCUUGCCUGUUUGGAGCUUUAUUUUCUGUAUUUUAGUCUGUUUUACUGGAGUCACCAAUAAGAUUUUCAUGGCUAGACCGCUAACCCAUGACCUAACUUGCCUUAGUCUUGCCUAGCUUGCACCAGCUACUUAAUCUAAUAAUAAUAACUUAAGACCCCAAAUUAAAAAUUGUUGCAGCUCUUAAGGGAGCCUUGAGAGUUACAGCUCAAGAUCUGGAUCCACCCAGAUUGGGAAAUCAUAGCUGAAGUUUUGGAAAAAGUGCUCUAAAAUUACAAUAACUGAAUUAACUCAGUAGUUUUCUUCAUUUACGGGACAAUCCUCCAAGGAGGGAACAACUUGAGGAGAAGCAGCUAGUCCUAGUGUUGAACUGCUGAUUUCAUGGCCUUUUAAGCAAUUUAGGAGGAAUUUAGGAGGGAGGUCAAAUAAGAAAGGAAACAGAAAGGAAGGAUUGAAGCAGGUGGGAGACUAAGUGGUGUCAGUAGCUGAGUAGUUAAAAUUUGAGAGAACUGGGGGUUAAGUAUAUGUAUGUGAAGCUCUGUAAUGGGAUAUAGUGUAAUGGAUUGUAAACUAUUAUAACUGAGCCACAGUAGAAGUAACACUGGAGAGCGAUGGUAUAUAUAAGUAUUGGAGGAUAAUUACACCUAAUAGCCAAAUCUUGACUGCUAAGCCUUGCAUUUCUUUAAAGAGGAAAUUACAAAAAUCAUAUAUAGUGGAUAAGGAUGGUAAAAGUCUAUGCAGAAAUGUUAUAACUGACCAUGCAAACAACUAUGUGUAAUUCUCCCCUUUGCUGUCCCCCACAGCUGUUUAGCUGCCUCCACGCAUCCCAGGCCCAGCUCUGAUACUGCACAGCUGCAUAACCUUGGGCCAAACUUCUGAGCAAACCGCUAAGUUAUGAGACAGCCUGCAAGAAGAUAAGACGGGCAAAAGCAGGGGGAGGAAAACUGAGAGCUUUGGGUCAGAUCAAGCCAUUAAUAUCUACAGUGAAAGCUGGAUGAAACUGGGUUUGAGCAUCCUAACCAUAUGUUACCUUCCUCAGAAAUGGGCAGCAACAGCAUUAGUCACACACCUGAGCUACAUCAGGCGACAGUGGUAUUGGGAUAUCUAAGAAUAAGACAAUGCUGUACCUGUGUAAUAGACUGGAAAAGUGAAAGUGUGUGAAAUCCUCCCAAGGACUGGCAAACUAGGGACACCAGUGGCCCCGCUCAGUCUGCAAUAACCACUAAACUCAGGACACCAAGAGGCUGCCGGGGCUGCCCAGGACCACCAGCACACAGGAACAUCAAUAGCUGUGACUGCUAUCUGCUGUGACGGAUGGCAGCUGGACUCUUGAGCACUCCCUGCUGUGGGACCUUUUAAAAGAGGGCUUGAAGGGGGUGCCCACGCUCUGGUCUGGGGUGGCCAGGGCUUCCUCUGUGGUGCUUGUGUUGGGGACGGUGCAGGUAGAUCAGGGCUGCUCUAUGCCAGACAAGCAACUCCUGGAUUAGGUCAAUUUAGAGGUUCAGGGGAGCUAUGAUGCUUAUUGCAGGCUGGUGGGGUGGUGCAGCUUGGGGGUUUGUGCCUAAGCAUCCCUCUGUGCGAGAAGCUGAGGACAGGCUGGGAGCUGAAGUUUCAAGCCUCAUAGGGUUGCUUCAGGCAGAAAAGCUUCUUACAGCAUCUCUGCAUUUCUCAAAUGUAUGAGGCUGUAAGAGAUGGUGGGGACUGAGGUUCCCUCAUGAAGUUGCUAUAGGAGUUACUUUGGGGCUAAAAAAGCAGAUCAAUUUAUUCUCUCAAACUGCAAAAAAUAGAUUUUCUCUCUUUUUUUUUUUUUUUAAAUAAAGAAGCUUUUCUCCUCUUCCUUGCACCCAGGAGCCUAGCACACAGCUCUUGACUUCAGUUUUGUCUUGCAUGCUUGGCCAUGCUUUUGGUCUGUGUUAAGCCUCUUCCAGCAGUCAAUAGAAAAGCUACCUAAAAUGCCAGCAGGCCUUGGGUCCGUCCCUCUGCCCUCCUCCGAGCUGGCCCUACAUACAAAAGUGGAAAGCUGUUGGGGUUGCGUGGUGACAGGCAGCGGUGCAAAUGUUUGGAGAAGACAGGUAGGAGUUAUCAGCCAGGAGCUAGG